GUUUAGAUAUGAUCUUCAGAUACAUUUAUUGUACUUUCAAAUUCUUUGGAUACUAAUUGAGCUAGCAAACAAUAUCCCAGCUGAAUGUCCCAACUCCUUCCCUAUUUAACAAGCGCUUAAUAUAGAUUUAUAUUGUAGCCAUCCAUCUAGUGAACAAUAUAGCUGAGCAGUCAACAAAAAAUAAAAAAAAUGUUAAAACCAAAUUAUACAUGCUGCCUUAUUUCUGACUCCUCUUCCUUUCUGCACCUCUGAAAUUGAACUCUUUACAGACUAUAUAUAUAUAUUUAAUUUCUGAGUGACAGAUCAAAAAUAAUUUGCAGAAUCAGAAGUGGAUGGAAGUUUCAAAUAAUGUCUCUAAAUAUUUCAUAUUCUUACUUAUAAUACCAGCCCACCAGCUGUAAAAAGGAACCAUUCCUUUUUUUUUUUUUUUUUUUUCUCUGCUAGUUUAAAACUACAGAAGGAUAGAUUAUUUAGGCUGGCAGUUCCUAUUUUCCAGGGCCUGCCUCAGAGAUGACAUAAAUAGAGAUUGAAUGAUCAGAAAAACAAAACAAAACAAAACCCAAAAUAAAACCCAAACCCUGGACAGGAAUAGAGACAGACAGCUAUAUAACUGCAUCUGAACAAUGUUACAUACUGCAUUAGGGGGUGGUCAAAAAAAAUAGAUUGCAUAUUUAUAACCUCAUAAUUAAAAUACAUCCUUAUCUCUCUCCUUUGAAAGGUUGCAGCUUUCUUGGAAGUAUUUUGAGUGCAUAUUUUAAGCUCCAUGUCCUGAAUUGAAUUAAGAUGAGCUGUUUUGCCCAAUACUAAAAUACCAGUUUGCAAUUUAAGGUUUAAGUUUCAACCACCUAUCAGUCACUCUAUCAUUUUCUUUGUAUUUUUCUCUCCUUAUGUUCGCAGACGUUAUAUAAAAUGGUGUUAGUUUAUAUCAGAUUCUAAUUUCUGCGUGCAAGAAAUUAGUUGAUAUCAUCCAAAAGAAUUGCUUGUGUUUGACGGAGGUAAAUUGGAUGAGAAUUUUUCACAUGCAAACAGAGUUCAAGCCAAACCGAAAACUUUAAAGCAAAGGGAUACCAGCAAACAGUGAAAAAUGGCACGUCUGCUCCCUCUUGACAAGCUUGCAUUAUAUCACAUGCUAGGAAACAGAAAUUUCUGAAUCUAAGACCACUUUUAGUUUUUAAUAGGAAAUAAUUACAUGGAACUUUAUUUCCAGAGAGAACGUCCCUUCCAGCUACAGAGUUCUGCUUUGAUCUGAGUAUUAACUGGUAAUAAAAUAACCAUAUUUUGGAUCCCGAGCAUAUUGAUGCUUAAAGGAAUGUUAUGCUUUCAAUCAAACUCUAACUUCAGAUUAUCCAAAGGUAUUCAUCCUCCCUUUGUCAGAAACCAAUUUGUUCUUUUACUCCAGCAACCACUCACACGUGUUUUGCUAUAUUUUGUCAUUUUAUAGUAGAAUUUGCACUAUCGAGGCGGAAAACUUCUACAUGCAGUGAGAUCAUGUUCCAGCCUGGCAAUUUGUGCUGCUUAGCACACAGUCCCCCAGCCAGGCUAUUCUUUGCACUUGUUGUACUCCACCACCAUCGCUCAUCUCAGAGAGCGACUACUGCAAAUGCCUUCUAAGCAGGGUUUUGUUUUAAAUCUCCAGAUUGGUAUUUUAUUUUAUUUUUUUAGUUUUAUUUUUUACCUGGCGAAUCAAUCACUGGGACCCAUCCCGAACAAUUAACCUCCUCUUUAUAUGACGGACCCAAGCACAGCACUUCAUAAAGACAUGAAAAGGACAUCCCAGACACCAGGACCCGAGCCCAGGCUUGUCACAGAGCAUAAAAGGAGAGCGAAGGGGAGUUUUUAUCUCUUUGCCCAGCAAACUCUUAACAGGUCUAAGUUUCGGUGUGACAAUAAACCAGUUUUGAUAACGCAGCUCAUGGGCUUCUCUGCCACAUAAAGUUUUCUUAAUAAUAAAAAAGAAGAAACUUUAUCCCUGCUAAAUUAAAAUAGGGCAGAUGUUGGAUAUGGUUCGUAUUAGCCAGCCUUUCACCCCUUUGCCCCUGGCACUAAAGUUCUGACUUUUGCUUUAUACCAUGUCUGUUUCUAACUGGAAGGUAUUAGUCCUGCCCUCGCUCUCUUCUCGUAUUUAUUUUUUCAGUGUCUAAAAUUAAACCUAUUCAUUUAGCAACAUACAUUCUACUUCAGCUUGCUAAACCUGGCCAGGGAGGGGAAACUUUUUCCAAAAAGUGAUGCACCACUGACCUUAAAAGAAAACACAAGGCAGGGAAAGCUGUUCUUAAAAGGUUUAUUUCUAGAGAGUUUUGUAGCUCUGUUGACAUUACAGGGAUAAUGGCUGUAUUGCAACGGGCUUUCAAGGCCCAAGAGGUUUACGUUUGCUUCUGACCAUAAGUAUAAUAAAAUUUUAAAGGUGCAGAAAGUUUCAUCACUUUAGAUAUUUAAAACUAGAUUGGAAAAAACCCUUGGGAACCACACAUUACAGUGGGCAGCCCUGCUGAAAAAGAAGGGCAUAGGCAAACUUAAAAAAAACCCACCAACAUCCCCCCCAACCCAAAGAAAAAAAAAAAAAAGCCCCAAAGCCCCAGCUUUUCCAUGCUAGCUAUAUGAAAAUCCUGGCUGUUAAGCUACUAGGAUAGUGCAGCUCUUUUCUCCAGGGCUGCGAAGAUAGAAUUUAUUGUCCAUUUGGAGCGAUCAAGUUUAGGCUAAUAAAAGGCCCUCUGUAAGCAGAAAUGCCAAAGUUGAUGUUUGGCGUAGUUUUCAAUGGCGGAGUUUAUAUAGGAUGGGGCUCUGCACUAUUUGAAAUUACUCAUAUCUCAGCAGCUGAAGAUGAUUUGACAUACAGAAGUAAACGAUAGUAGGCAACGGCUGGAGGUUAAUCAGCCUUGCUUUCUGAACUGGACAUCUGAAAGCAGGAAAAGUGAAAGCUGCUCUCUCUAUCCCUUCCCUUUUCUGAGGCGCUGCUAACUUUUAUGAUUUUUUUUUUUUUUCUCUUCUUCUUUUACUAUCUGUCUUUGUGCCUGAGGGCCAGUGAAAGAACACUGCAGAUUCUAGAUUGCUUUCAGAGUUUCCCUUUGCUGAUGAUGGAUUACCAUGUCAAUUUAAACGGCAUAGGAUUAAUUUGUUUCAAUGAUUUCUCUUUAGGCUGAAUGCCAGUCUUUUUUUUUUUCUAUCUCUCUCCUUGCUCUUCAGAAUAAUAAUAAUAAUAAUAAUAAUAAAUCCUUAAAAACCCCAAACGCUUUUGAUAUCCCACAUUAAAAAGACAAUAAUAGAAAUAGACAAGUUAGGUGUAAUGUUGCAACACAGUUAUAGGUUUGAGUGUUUUUAUCUCAUUCUAAGGGGCUGAAGCAUACAGUCAGUCACAUUAAAAUGAAAUUGGAUCCAACGUUUAUUCAAUAAAUACUUGUCUUGUAGGUAAUCCAGAGCAGAGUGCUUUUGACACAUAAGGACUUAAUUUGUCUUGGAUAACAAGUUAUUAAUAUGGCACAUUUAAACUUGCCACCUACAAUAAGGUCAUUUAGACCUAUAAUAUGACUCGCGAGAGAACUUCAUAAAGCCAGAAACAAAGUUUGAGGCUGCCUUGGCGUGGGGCAGUGCUGCUCCCAGAGCAGGCACGCAGCUCGGGCUCCGCUCUCUAGGAAGAAAGUUCAGAGCAGGAGAACGCACCCAAGGCCAACCAAACGGUUCGCAUCUGCUCUUCUCUGAAAGGCGAGUGUAAAUGGAGUAAAGAGGAAAAAAAGAACCCAAACACACAGUUUUGAAUGAGUAAUCUCGAAAGCUGUGCUGCGUCUGCUAGCAAACUCAUCGCAGCUUUGUGAGUGAAAAAAACAACAUUUGGUUCCGAGGGGAAAUUCGCCCGCAUUUGCACCCUGCCUCAUCCAUGUGCUUUGCAAUUUUCUUGCUUUUAAUAAUAAGCGAGGAAGUUGGAACAUAAUCCACCCAUAAAUGUUAUUGCAGUAAUUUGACUGCGCUGUGUUUGUUCAUGCAUUAGCCGUACACGUAAAGAGAAGUGGGGCUGUAUGGUGGUGAUCCUCCCACAGCCUGAACAAACAGAGAUGUUUUGGUAUAUAUUGGAUUUCAGACCCCGAAUACUUUGCAAUAGCUUUAAAAUUUGGAAAGCUGGAGUUGGGGUGUUUAGUUUCAGACCUUGCCUAACCUAACCAUGCCUGCAAGAGUCCCAGCAGGACAGGAACACGGGGGGCAUGCCGCACAGGACACAGCUUGUGGCUGGCAAUUCCUUCCCCACGCUGCACAUGUGAGCAUCACUGUGCUGCUUUUCGGUAUUAAGCUCUUGAUUGCUCUUGCCCUGGCAGAUUCUGUCUCUUUAAGUAACUAAAUCUCAUUUUUAAGCUCUUCCUGGGAAAAGGAUGUUACACAUGAGUAGAAAAAUGCAGGCAAGAAAGGCUAAUUGAAUGAAAAGAGAGAAUUAGGUUAAAAAUAGAGUACAAUCUAGUAUCACAUUUUCACUAGUGUAACCUGAAAUGAAGGUGUCUCCAAGUCCCUAGUGAUGCCAGAGUGUUUAGAUGUUGGGCACAGAUGGAGACACCUAUUGAAAUGUGUCUGAAGAAGAUUAAUAGGACUUGUCAGUGUUGGGAAAGCACUGCUUUGCUGUAAAUUUCUACUAGCACAAGAUGAAUUACCGAUGAAUGCUCAGUUAUCAACCCCAUCACUAUCAUUGGACACUAAAUCAAAUUGAGCAGUUAUCUACAAUCAGAAAAUUUCUUUUAAAAAUAGGCAUACACCUUUAGGCUUAAACUCUUUAAUAAGACAAUAGUCUCGAUGGUAUGUGUGUGUUCGCUAAGGGAUGCAUUUUAAAGUUCCUACACAAAAAGCUUCUGUUCUGAAACGAACUCCGAGCUUAGUGUGAAAUCAGGCUUGUCAAACAAUAGAAGAUAUUCAGAAAAUACUGGUUGCAUGAUAUAAUGUUCUGCUGGGGGCUGGAUCCAAAACACAUUUUCAGCCGUGUCAUUAGAUUUUGGAUCAGACCCUAUUUGUGAAUGGCUUUUUGUCAUCACUCCUAUCCCUUUAUUUUUGGUGCUGGUAAAAAACUUCUCUCUACCUUAAAGACUGAGCAUCCUAAUCAUGUAGUAAUGCAAAGUAGCUGUCAAGGCGCGGGGUGUAAGUAAAAUAAUAACAUCCCCCCUCCCCAACAUAUUUAGGAAAUGACAGCUUAAUGUAAUGAAAUAUGUGAUGAAAGAAUCAAUGAAUAAAAUUUUACCUAGGAAUAUUUCUUUUUACUCCUUUAAAAAGGGGAAACUGUCACAAGGAAAGCUAUCACAAGCAUUCACCAGCCCAGUGAUAAAGCAUAUUAGCUGCAUUCACCGUGUGAUGCUGCUGCUGACAAUGAUGUUAAAUAAGCAUUACAUAUUUUUAGUUUCUAGGACUUCUCUCCCUCUCACCCAGGCAUGGCACUGCUUUAUCCAGGGAGAUUUAUCGUGGCAUGUUUUCAGAAGUCAAUUUUUCCCUUUUAUUAUAGACAAGGGCAGUCAUUUAUGUUUAGGGAGGGAGACAGGUACAGUGCCUUUAUCUGAUCGGUGUCCCCAGCCCCAGCCACCUUCUUAAUCGACGGCAAAUUCCCGCUGUGCAGGAUCAGGCCCCCUCCGGGCUCCUUCUCAGCCAAGGAAUGUAUCCUUCCCUUCUCCUCCACAUAUCUUACCUGUGAUGUAUGCUACUUUUCGAGGAGGGAAUAAUAUGCCAUUUACCACAAAGCACAGCUUCAAAGCCUUUGUGUGUUUUGCAUCCCCAGCCAAAGCUUUUUAUUUACCACCUUAAGAACGUAACCGGCUAAGGGAUAGUAGCCGUUAUUGUCUUCAUCUUUACACCCUCAUUUUCACGCAGCAAACAUCCCAUAUUAGGGCCAGAUUCUCACUCAGAUGGAAGUUAUUAACUUUAAGCAGAACGGAGCCGAUUUCAGCCAGCCGCAGCCCGUGCCCUCCUAACACAGGCUCUUUAAAGCAUCUCCUUGUUCUUUUUUUUUUUUUUCUUUCUUUCCUUUGGAGGGCAUGAGUCUUUAAACAUGUUUGUUUUACAGAAAGUGGUGGUCGAUUUCUAACUUAUUUUCCCCAACAAACAUGGAAAGAGAAUAUUAACAGGGAAUAUUAAUAGAGCUGAGUGCGGCACGGUGCUAGUUAGCUUGUAGUAGCCGAGAAAUAUGAACUAGUGAACAUAAUCCAUAAACUCCAUUUGGUUACUAUAAUACUCCAAUCUGUAUUUAUUACAACCCCACUCUGAUGCUUAUACAACUGCAAUUGCUAGAUUUAUACACUCUAAUGGUUUCACAAUAGGAAAAACCUGUGUUCUUUAUCUUUCUUUUCCUGUCCAAAAUAACCCCUUCCACAUAUACUUCAGGCUUCCCUGGACCUUGUCUGGGUUUAAUCACAGGCUGUGGGACAAAAUGUGCAUUAUUAAGAAAUAUAAAUAUUUUCAGAAGCAAUCAAAGGGUUGAAAGAUUGAUUCGGCAUGUAGAUUGGAUUUAAUUCGAAGCAGCUUUGUUCUAAUGAGGACUACUGGGAUACAAAGACAGCAGCCGCUUAUGGCCACCAGUUGGGAGCUUGGAUUCACUGCAGUAACCUGUCAAGAAUUUCACCCAACUGCCAGGUAUUAAACAGCAAAGUGUGGGGGAAGGUGAUUUUCAGCAUCCUUCGUCAGGGGCUGGAUUAGGAUUUCAGAUCCCCUGCUUUACCGAAACAACAAUUCCGGCUAAUUUCUCACUGCUCACAGGGACAAAUCCUGCAGUCCAAAGCUCCCACUGACUUCGGUGGCCACUUUGCCCAAAGGCAAGGUGGUAAAACUUGGCUCAGCAGCAAGUGCAGCAAACCCCAGAGCUCUGCAGCAGUUUGCCCUGGGAGGUGUUUUUUUUUUCCCUGCAAAAGUGAAAUGCAGCUCACUGUUGGCUUGGAAGCUUGUGUCCUCGAUGGGUGACCCAGCAGAACUGCCAUGCUCAUCCUGCAUCCCAGGGAAAAGCCUGCAACGUCCAACAAAGCAUCCUUGGAGAGGGAGCUGAGCAAAAGGGGACACUCCUCCACUUUGCCCUCAGACUUUAAAAAAAAAAAGAAAAGUAAAAUUUCUGUGCGUGCUGCAGGGGGGUCACGUCACAGGUACUUGGGGAGCGCAAGACCCUGGCAGCUUUCCUAAACGUUGAACGUACAGUCGGAAUCACAGCACACACAGGAUCAAACACCGACUAGUUUCUCCCUCCCCUUAGCCCCCCCUUGCCUACUUUUGUCCAUAAAAGCAAUAGAAAGAGAGAAAGCUUGAAUUUUCUGAACUGUUUCACCCAUCCACAGCUGGAAUUCCAAAGUGAAAUGAAAAUGCCUUUAAAAUCAACCCUACAUGGGAGCCUGAGAGAACAAGUUUUCCUUUGUUGUAGGGUAUAGUA